rnacentral:rRNA from 1 species
UACGUAGGGCGCAAGCGUUGUCCGGAAUUAUUGGGCGUAAAGAGCUCGUAGGCGGCCUGUUGCGUCCGCUGUGAAAUCCCGGGGCUCAACCCCGGGCGUGCAGUGGAUACGGGCUGGCUGGAGGCAGGCAGGGGAGAACGGAAUUCCUGGUGUAGCGGUGAAAUGCGCAGAUAUCAGGAGGAACACCGGUGGCGAAGGCAGGUCUCUGGGCCACUACUGACGCUGAGAAGCGAAAGCAUGGGGAGCAAACAGG